AGUUCGUUGUAAAUGAUAUAUGACAUGGACCUGACGAACUUGUUCAACAGACACACGUGAACAGUUGAACUUUACAACCAAUGGCCUUUAGUUGGCGGACUGUGUGAGUAACACGUAAGCAACCUGCCUAUCAGAGGGGAACAACAGUUAGAAAUGACUGCUAAUACCGCAUAUGCCUAAGUACCACAUGGUACAAUAGGGAAAGGAGCAAUCUGCUGAUAGAUGGGCUUGCGUCUGAUUAGAUAGUUGGUGGGGUAACGGCCUACCAAGUCAACGAUCAGUAGCCGGACUGAGAGGUUGAACGGCCACAUUGGGACUGAGGUACGGCCCAGACUCCUACGGGAGGCAGCAGUCGGGAAUAUUGGACAAUGGGGGAAACCCUGAUCCAGCAAUGCAGCGUGAGUGACGAAGGCCUUAGGGUUGUAAAACUCUUUCAUCGGUGAGGAUAAUGACAGUAGCCGAAGAAGAAGGACCGGCUAAUUCCGUGCCAGCAGCCGCGGUAAUACGGAAGGUCCUAGCGUUGUUCGGAAUUACUGGGCGUAAAGCGCAUGUAGGCGGAACAAAAAGUUAGAAGUGAAAUCCCUGGGCUCAACCUAGGAAUUGCUUUUAAAACUUUUGUCUUGGAAUUCAGGAGAGGAAAAUGGAAUUUCCAAGUGUUAGCAGGUGAAAUUACGUAAGAUCAUUCGGAAGGAACACACAGUGGCG
rnacentral:rRNA from 1 species